GAUGAACGCUGGCGGCGUGCCUAAUACAUGCAAGUCGAGCGAACGGACGAGAAGCUUGCUUCUCUGAUGUUAGCGGCGGACGGGUGAGUAACGCGUGGAUAACCUACCUAUAAGACUGGGAUAACUUCGGGAAACCGGAGCUAAUACCGGAUGAUAUUUUGAACCGCAUGGUUCAAAAGUGAAAGACGGUCUUGCUGUCACUUAUAGAUGGAUCCGCGCUGCAUUAGCUAGUUGGUAAGGUAACGGCUUACCAAGGCAACGAUGCAUAGACGACCUGAGAGGGUGAUCGGCCACACUGGAACUGAGACACGGUCCAGACUCCUACGGGAGGCAGCAGUAGGGAAUCUUCCGCAAUGGGCGAAAGCCUGACGGAGCAACGCCGCGUGAGUGAUGAAGGUCUUCGGAUCGUAAAACUCUGUUAUUAGGGAAGAACAUAUGUGUAAGUAACUGUGCACAUCUUGACGGUACCUAAUCAGAAAGCCACGGCUAACUACGUG
rnacentral:rRNA from 1 species